GCUGAGGAGUCCCACAAUAGGACGAAACGGACGUCC
rnacentral:hammerhead_ribozyme from 1 species